AUAAGAGUAUACGCAACUACUAGAAAACAAGUUAACAAAAAUCCACAGCGCAUUAGGCUCUGAUAAAAAUAAAUAAAUAACAAGUUUAGACAUUAGGGCCCAUUAAAGAAAUUAAAAUUAAAAAGUAGAGAAAAAAAAUAUAUUUUAUAUUCAGUAUUUUUUUUUUUCCUUCUCUACUUCAGAAAGCUAGAUAGCACCGAGUUAUGACUAAUGAUGAGAACAAGGGGUUGUACAGAAUGAGAGAGCAAUUUAAUAGAUUCAAAAUAUUUUUCACAAUGAUUUUCUUCAAUUACAAUAGCUCUUAUUUAUACAGCUACCAACCCUUCCUAUAACUGUUCUCCCCAAAUACAACUUCCAUAACAACUUUCUGAUAUUAGGUUAGGAACCCUAACUAUUCAAUUAUCACAAGAAAAAAGAGAAGAAAGAACAAGGAAGAAGCCAAGGAAGUAGAUAGAGAAGGACAAAGAAUAGAGGAAGAAGAGAUUUAGAGAAAGGAAUAGAUUUCUUAUUGAUAAAGUUCUAGAAUGCCUAUACAGAGAGCUCUUCAGCUCUUCAUACCCUGUUUCCCACCAAAAUCCCAGCUACACUUCUGAUAACUGCCUCUAACAGAUUCUUUUCUCUUCUCUCAAUCUCUCUAAUCUUUCUUUUUUCUCUCUUCUUUCCCAAGAUAUCUUCCCUCUACUUCUUCUUUUCGUCUCUGUAUCAAAGC
rnacentral:misc_RNA from 1 species